rnacentral:sRNA from 1 species
CUUUUGACUCUGGUUGAAAUGGAAAUCAUUUUGUGCGGAUGUUGGGCACAAAAGAUUGAAAUAAAAAAAAUCCGAGCUGUG